AUGCUCAAAGAUUGCCGCCUUGUCGAGACACCGGAGCUGGUCGGUGUGGCAGAGCAGCCUCUUCUUGCCGUCGUUCUCCUCGUACAGCUCGCCGGCGUCGGCUGGCAGCUGAAGGCGCCGCUUCAUGACCGCAGCCACAGCAACCCGCAGCAGAGGCGUGAGGGGGCUGCCCUGCGGCACCCUGUACCGGUAGGUCCGCCACCCCGCGAGGUAGACGACGAGGGAGCAGCCCAUGACGGCGGCGAGGAGCACGGUGGCGGCGCCCCAUCCGACCCGCUCCUGGAUGUAGACGACGACGGUGACCCCAAGCAGCACCCCCGAGCAGAGCGCGCAGUUCCACCAGUUGAAGUAGGACAUCUUCUGAAGCCGCUCGCCGGCGUGGCCGUCGUCGAACUGGUCAGCGCCGAAGCUCUCGAGCGCCGGCUUGUGGCCGCCGGUGCCGACGGACACGAGGUAGAUCCCGACGAAGAAGAGCGUCUCGUGAACCCGCGGCACAGAGACACCGCCAGGCCUCAGUCCCGGCGCCAGCUGCGCCACCGCGAGCAGGACGAGGCCGAGGAGGUAUACGACGGUGGAGAGGAGCACGGUGCGGAAGCGGCCGAGGUAGGCGUCGGCGAGGAAGCCGCCGAGGAGCGGCAUGAGGGUGGUGACGCUCAUCCAGUACUGGGAGUUCACGGCGGCGACCUUCAUGUCCUGGUGCAGCACCUUGGUGAGGUAGAUCAUGAGGCUCGUGGCGAUGCCGAAGUAGCUCAGCCGCUCGCUGAACUCGAUCACUGCCAAAUCCAUACAACAAGAACUGCCAUCAACCAAACGAACAGAGACAGAGACAAAGACAAAGACAGAGAGAUCUGGCAGGCAGUUUGA
rnacentral:rRNA from 1 species